AGGUUUCUUCAGGCUUUCAGGCCACAGUGCCUAGGGCACUUUUGAGGAAUCCUUGGUGUCAUUACCAGAAAUGAUUACUAAUCAUAAUAACUUGACGACACACUCGCGAGUUUACGUGUCAUGAGCACACACAGAAAUCAGAGUGAAAAUUCCAAAAGGAUUUUGAUUUGGCGACUUUGCUUCGACAUUUUUUUUUGUCCGACCGCACCAAAUAAACUGUUGGGUGCCCGUCCAUAAUUUUUAUGACCUCAAAAACUGAAGAGAUUAAGGGUUGAUCAAGGUCAGCCCAUCUUUAGCGAAAGUUCUGUCCUCAAUUCUACGAGGAAAGGUGCCACAAGGUUGAGUUAAAAAAAAUACAGUGCAUCGCGCUCGUAUGACGAGGUGUCGCAUGCGGUAGAAUGUUUCUUCGCAUCGUGAACACACAUUCAUGCAUACAUGUAUUAUGUAUGCUACUGGUCUGCCGUCUACUUUGUUACCUUCCAAUUAACCAAUUGCACCUGCCCAGUCACAUGACCUACAGUGGGUAUCAAACAUGGUGUCCUGCCAUAGCAAAGUGUGUCACAAGUGUCAUUUGCUAAACGUAAAGCCGGCGGUCAGUGAAGUACAUGUAGUCAACUUCUUUUUGGUAAACACACUUUGCUCCGGGAUACCCGCUAUAGGUCACAUGACUAAACUGGCGCAAACAGUUAAUUGCAUGUUGAUAGCCUGUACGGCAGUAACACUGGAAAACCAGCCUUCUGUUUGCUCAUUAAUCUACUAACAAAAACACUGAAAUUUGAAUUUAUAAGGGUUUGCACUCAGCAAUCCCUGAUCUGAAAGGGCAGGUUUCGUAGUUCAGGUACAACGUCUAUGCGAGUGGUGUCAUCCUGGAGUAUUCAUCGUGAGAUUCGCCACACUUGGAAGGUGAAUUUGAAGGUAUAUGUGAUGUACAUGUUUGGUAUGGCAUCACAUAUUCUUACCAUUUAUAUUUGUCUUUCAUGCCAUGUACGAAUGAGCCGUUAGUCUAUCGUUUUCGCUUUCCAAAACCUUGUUCAGCAAGACACCAAUUAUUGGUGUGCCUGGUGGUAUAGAAAUCCUUAUUCAUAUUUCACUGAAUUUUUAGAAAUUACGUAUCAGUCCAAAAUAACCUUUGCAAACUUGGGAAGUCUUUAUUUUACACAGUUGAUGGAUUGAGAAGUCAUUUUGAGAGGAUGUUGCUGGAAAUGUGAAAUUCUUACAAAUUUUUGGCACUUGAUGCCGAACAUGUUUAGUACCGGGGUCCUAAAAAUAAGGAUUGCUGAUUUUAUUACCAACCAGAUCCUGAACCUUGAUAUAAUUUAUACCGGGCAUUCUACACGACAUUUUUCACACGACGAGCCACUCUUCAUCGAGGUUCCAUAAAUUAAUAUCUUAGGACGUCAGACUAACCUGAUGCUAAAGGCAUUUCUCUUUUUUCUUCACCAACAGUAAUUUCUGGCACACCAAGUCUUGAUGGGAAAUUUUUUAAAGUGCCGUGCCUCAUAAACUGUAAAUUUGGUUGUGGUGUUUGUUCUGUAGAAAUUAGACACACUCCUGACGAGUAUCGUGAGUGUGUGGAAAGGAUUCAGCAAUGCAGAAUAAAGAGUGUACAUUUUGUUUGGUAGACGGAG
rnacentral:lncRNA from 1 species